rnacentral:rRNA from 1 species
UACGUAGGGGGCAAGCGUUGUCCGGAAUUAUUGGGCGUAAAGAGCGUGUAGGCGGUCCGGUAAGUCGGCUGUGAAAGUCCAGGGCUCAACCCUGGGAUGCCGGUCGAUACUGCCGGACUAGAGUUCGGAAGAGGCGAGUGGAAUUCCCGGUGUAGCGGUGAAAUGCGCAGAUAUCGGGAGGAACACCUAUGGCGAAGGCAGCUCGCUGGGACGUUACUGACGCUGAGGAGCGAAAGCAUGGGGAGCGAACAGG